UACGAAGGGGGCUAGCGUUGCUCGGAAUCACUGGGCGUAAAGGGUGCGUAGGCGGGUCUUUAAGUCAGGGGUGAAAUCCUGGAGCUCAACUCCAGAACUGCCUUUUGAUACUGAAGAUCUUGAGUUCGGGAGAGGUGAGUGGAACUGCGAGUGUAGAGGUGAAAUUCGUAGAUAUUCGCAAGAACACCAGUGGCGAAGGCGGCUCACUGGCCCGAUACUGACGCUGAGGCACGAAAGCGUGGGGAGCAAACAGG
rnacentral:rRNA from 1 species